rnacentral:rRNA from 1 species
UACGUAGGAGGCAAGCGUUGUCCGGAAUUACUGGGCGUAAAGCGCGUGUAGGUGGUGGGACAAGUCUGCUGUGAAAGCGCCUGGCUUAACCGGGCGAGGUCGGCGGAAACUGUUCGACUCGAGGACGGUAGAGGGGGGUGGAAUUCCCGGUGUAGUGGUGAAAUGCGUAGAGAUCGGGAGGAACACCUGUGGCGAAGGCGACUACCUGGCCUGUUCUUGACGCUGAGGCGCGAAAGCUAGGGGAGCAAACGGG